CUUAACUCGGUAGCUGCGUNGUAAUGCUCUAGAUUAGACGUUGAUUCAUGGUCUCAGCACCUGAGCCGCUCGGNGUGAUACAUGCCUAACACAUGCAAGUCGAACGGCAGCACAGAGGAGCUUGCUCCUUGGGUGGCGAGUGGCGGACGGGUGAGUGAAUACAUCGGAAUCUACUCUGUCGUGGGGGAUAACGUAGGGAAACUUACGCUAAUACCGCAUACGACCUACGGGUGAAAGCAGGGGAUCUUCGGACCUUGCGCGAUUGAAUGAGCCGAUGUCGGAUUAGCUAGUUGGCGGGGUAAAGGCCCACCAAGGCGACGAUCCGUAGCUGGUCUGAGAGGAUGAUCAGCCACACUGGAACUGAGACACGGUCCAGACUCCUACGGGAGGCAGCAGUGGGGAAUAUUGGACAAUGGGCGCAAGCCUGAUCCAGCCAUACCGCGUGGGUGAAGAAGGCCUUCGGGUUGUAAAGCCCUUUUGUUGGGAAAGAAAUCCAGCUGGCUAAUACCCGGUUGGGAUGACGGUACCCAAAGAAUAAGCACCGGCUAACUUCGUGCCAGCAGCCGCGGUAAUACCGAAGGGGUGCCAAGCGUUUACUCGCGAAUUACCUUGGGCCGUAAAGCCGUGCGUAGGUGGGUCNGUAUAAAGUUCCGGUGUUGAAAAGCCCUGGNUCAACCUGGGGAACUGNAGUUGGAUUCUUGACGACUUAACNAGUUGUUUGGGUCAACAUGGGGUCAACCCGGGAAAUUCCCUNGUUNGUUCCCGUUGGCAAUUNNGUGUUAUAUUCCCGGNGGGGAGACCCUCUCCAUGGGCGCNAAGGCCGGUACCUUGGGNACCAACUUGGCCUUGGAUGGUCAGAAGCCUUGUGGCGCCAACUGGGUUNUUCCCGGGUUCCCCGCUCAAAGGUCACANUGGUUUGUGGUGUUUGCGCCCUUUCAGACUGUUUUCCCG
rnacentral:rRNA from 1 species